GACUACCGGGGUAUCUAAUCCUGUUUGCUCCCCACGCUUUCGCGCCUCAGCGUCAGUUACUGUCCAGAUAGUCGCCUUCGCCACCGGUGUUCCUCCUAAUAUCUACGCAUUUUACCGCUACACUAGGAAUUCCACUAUCCUCUCCAGUACUCAAGUCCCACAGUUUCAGAUGCAGCGCCCGGGUUAAGCCCGGGAAUUUCACAUCUGACUUAUGAGACCGCCUACACGCCCUUUACACCCAGUAAAUCCGGAUAACGCUUGCCACCUACGUAUUACCGCGGCUGCUGGCACGUAGUUAGCCGUGGCUUGUUUUUCAGGUACCGUCAUUUGUUUCUUCCCUGAUCAAAGAAGUUUACAACCCGAAGGCCUUCUUCCUUCACGCGGCGUUGCUGGGUCAGGGUUUCCCCCAUUGCCCAAUAUUCCCCACUGCAGCCUCCCGUAGG
rnacentral:rRNA from 1 species